rnacentral:rRNA from 1 species
UGGGGAAUAUUGGACAAUGGGCGAAAGCCUGAUCCAGCCAUGCCGCGUGUGUGAAGAAGGCCCUUUGGUUGUAAAGCACUUUAAGUGGGGAGGAAAAGCUUGUGGUUAAUACCCAUAAGCCCUGACGUUACCCACAGAAUAAGCACCGGCUAACUCUGUGCCAGCAGCCGCGGUAAUACAGAGGGUGCAAGCGUUGAUCGGAAUUACUGGGCGUAAAGCGCGCGUAGGUGGUUAUUUAAGUCAGAUGUGAAAGCCCCGGGCUUAACCUGGGAACUGCAUCUGAUACUGGAUAACUAGAGUAGGUGAGAGGGGAGUAGAAUUCCAGGUGUAGCGGUGAAAUGCGUAGAGAUCUGGAGGAAUACCGAUGGCGAAGGCAGCUCCCUGGCAUCAUACUGACACUGAGGUGCGAAAGCGUGGGUAGCAAACAGGAUUAGAUACCCUGGUAGUCCACGCCGUAAACGAUGUCUACCAGUCGUUGGGUCUUUUAAAGACUUAGUGACGCAGUUAACGCAAUAAGUAGACCGCCUGGGGAGUACGGCCGCAAGGUUA